UACGGGGAGGGCAAGCGUUGUUCGGAAUUACUGGGCGUAAAGGGUUUGUAGGUGGCUUGCUAAGUCAGACGUGAAAUCCCUCAGCUUAACUGGGGAACUGCGUCUGAGACUGGCAGGCUUGAGUGCAGGAGAGGAACGCGGAAUUCCAGGUGUAGCGGUGAAAUGCGUAGAUAUCUGGAGGAACACCGGUGGCGAAGGCGGGUCUCUGGGCCGAUAUUGACGCUGAGGUGCGAAAGCGUGGGGAGCAAACAGG
rnacentral:rRNA from 1 species